GGCCGCAUGGCCCAAUGGCAAGGCGCUUGACUACGAUUUAACAAUUGAAAUCAAGAGAUUGCAGGUUCGAUCCCUGCUGUGGUCA
rfam:Pyronema omphalodes CBS 100304, CBS100304, WGS project CATG01000000 data, contig: Pcon_v1_contig353